rnacentral:rRNA from 1 species
GAUGAACGCUGGCGGCGUGCCUAACACAUGCAAGUCGAACGAAGCACCUUACCUGAUUCUUCGGAUGAAAGUUUGGUGACUGAGUGGCGGACGGGUGAGUAACGCGUGGGUAACCUGCCCUGUACAGGGGGAUAACAGCUGGAAACGGCUGCUAAUACCGCAUAAGCGCACGAGGAGACAUCUCGUUGUGUGAAAAACUCCGUUGGUACAGGAUGGGCCCGCGUCUGAUUAGCUGGUUGGCAGGGUAACGGCCUACCAAGGCAACGAUCAGUAGCCGGUCUGAGAGAAUCAGCGGCCACAUUGGAACUGAGCCACAGUCCAAACUCCUACGGGAGGCAGGAGUGGGGAAUAUUGCACCAUGGGGGAAACCCUGAUGCAGCAACGCCGCGUGAGUGAAGAAGUAUUUCGGUAUGUAAUGCUCUAUCAGCAGGGAAGAUAAUGACGGUACCUGACUAAGAAGCUCCGGCUAACUACGUG